GCCGGGAUGCUGAAAUUGGCAGACAGGAUGGUCUCAAACACCAUUGGGCGUAAGCUCGUGAGGGUUCAAGUCCCUCUCCCGGCACCA
rnacentral:tRNA from 3 species